AUGGACCAGCCCGAUUACUGUAGCCGCUUCAGAAAAAAAACAUACAACUCCUGCUCUGCGGUGGGCGGUUGGCAUCUCCCCUCGCCUAGGGUUAUCCCGAGCCGCCGUCAAGCGGGCACGGACGGAACGCCGCCGCCCUCGAAGAAGGACAAGGUGAGGCCCUCGCUCCGCCGCUUGGCUGCUGCCCUCUUUCUCUCCUCGCGUCCUAGGCAGGGCUGUUGUCUGUACGAUUCGGUUUCAUCUCAGAGAGAGAGGGAGAGAGGGGGAGAGAGGGGGAGAGGGAGGGAGAGGGAGAGGGAGGGAGGGAGAGGGAGCGAGAGAGAGAGAGAGAGAGAGAAGGCAUACUGGACUCGGAGGAGAGACCAGAGCUCCCUACAUAAAAGAUGGGCUGUUCAGGGCUCCCUGGACUCGGAGAAAGGCGAGGAAGAUAGGCUCAGCGCGUUGACCGAUGACAUUUUAAUCUCUAUCUUGGGGAGAGUCGACCUUGCCAUGGCAGCAAGGACUAGCGUUUUGUCAACGCGGUGGAGAAACUUGUCGUGGCUACUUCCUGAUCUCAAACUUCAUGUCACGGACUUCCUUAGUGCCCCAUGUACAGGGGCUGCACACACUGAUCAAGCAAUGGCGUCUCUGACAAGAGCCACUAGCAGCUUCUUGGCUCAGCCCCGCAGGGAACACACCAUCUCAACACUAUGCCUCAAGCUUUACCUCAUGGGCAACUAUUCGCGUGACAUUGGCCUGCUAGUUAGCAAUGCCAUUGACAGCGAGAUGCUAAAAGAUUUGGAACUUGCCAUUUUAACUGAGAAGGAGGUCAAGGACUCCGACAACGAGGUUAUGUUACGGCAAGCUCGGGAUGUGGAUGGAUUUUUCAGUGAGUACCCUAGUGUUCUUCGCUGCCUCACAAGGCUUCAUCUACAUAAUGUUUGCUUCGCCGAACGCGACAUGAAUCACCUCCUGUUUGAUUGUUGCAAGCAAUUGCUGCACCUUCGUCUGGACCACUGUGACACCGGGGACUUAUCUGUAUGGAAGAUCAAUGCGCCACAUUCGAAUCUCAGAGUUCUAGAAGUCUACUUGUCAUUGAAAAGAGCUGAGGUGCUCUGCCUUCCAAAACUAGAGCGGGAAUGGGACCCAACAGGGAAGGAGUGGAAGUGGAAGUGGGCGCAUCCGAGGGAGAAGGGUGCCGAGCACGACGGGAGUAGACAAAAGGAAGCGGAGAGAGAGGGGAAGUGGAAGGUGGCGCAUCAGAGGGAGAAGGGUGUUGAGCACAACGGGAGUAGGUAA
rnacentral:rRNA from 1 species